rnacentral:rRNA from 1 species
UACAGAGGGUGCAAGCGUUGUUCGGAAUUAUUGGGCGUAAAGGGCGCGUAGGCGGUGCGGUAAGUCACCUGUGAAAUCUCCGGGCUUAACUCGGAGCCUGCAGGCGAAACUACCGUGCUGGAGUGUGGGAGAGGAAAGUGGAAUUCCUGGUGUAGCGGUGAAAUGCGUAGAUAUCAGGAGGAACACCGGUGGUGUAGACGGCUUUCUGGACCGUAACUGACGCUGAGACACGAAAGCGUGGGUAGCAAACAGG